CGCGGGAGGGAGCAGCCUGGUAGCUCGUCGGGCUCAUAACCCGAAGGUCGUCGGUUCAAAUCCGGCUCCCGCAACCA
rnacentral:tRNA from 1 species